rnacentral:rRNA from 1 species
GACGAACGCUGGCGGCGUGCUUAACACAUGCAAGUCGAACGGUGAAGCGCCUUCCUUUUUGGUGGGUGUGGAUGAGUGGCGAACGGGUGAGUAACACGUGAGUAACCUGCCCCCUUCUUCUGGAUAACCGCAUGAAAGUGUGGCUAAUACGGGAUAUUCUGGGUCUGUCGCAUGAUGGGUCUGGGAAAGAUAUUGUUUCGGUGGGGGAUGGGCUCGCGGCCUAUCAGCUUGUUGGUGGGGUGAUGGCCUACCAAGGCGGUGACGGGUAGCCGGCCUGAGAGGGUGGACGGUCACACUGGGACUGAGACACGGCCCAGACUCCUACGGGAGGCAGCAGGGGGGAAUAGUGCACAAUGGGCGCAAGCCUGAUGCAGCGACGCCGCGUGAGGGAUGGAGGCCUGCGGGUUGUGAACCUCUUUCGCCAGUGAAGCAGGCCUGCCUCGUUUGUGGGUGGGUUGACGGUAGCUGGAGAAGAAGCGCCGGCUAACUACGUG